UAAAUAUAAAACACAUUUCAUAAUAUGAUUGAUUUAUAUAUUUAAACUAAACCAAAUUUAAUAUGUGAUUAAUAUUGGAACCCAUCCAACUUUAAUUAGGUCAUCUUUGGUUGUCGUCAUCUUCUCCAUCUUUGUCAUCUGUUACACCAUCAUGAUUUCCGACCAGGCGACCACCAUACACGUAGAUUCGCAAGAAACAAAGAACAAAGUUAAAUUAGGGUUGGUGGAUUGGUUCGUGGAUCAGCCAUUCUCGAGCAAGAGUUUUUCUUCUUUCAAUCCUUUAGAGAAAGGAUUCUCCAGAUAUCAUGUCCGGUUGAUCCCUACAGCUCAGGUCAGUCACUAUCUGAGUGGAACGGAGACAAGAAUGAAUUCUGGAGCCAAGGUGCUAAGGUAUUUGGAAGAUGUGAAAGCUCCCAAGUAAGCUACCCGUUCGCAAGUUUCUGUCGUGGUGUUGGACUUACUGAUCAGUCCUUCUUGAUCUUCUCAAGAAUGAUGAGAGCAAUGCUGAGGUCAAAGUUUUGGAUGUUGAUGCCUUUUUCAUAUUCGCAUAUUCAAACCAAGCAGCAUAACGGAGCGGAGGACUUAUCGUGUCCUGGAAGAAUCAAUCAUAUAUUCUUCUGUUAUGUUACUCUUUUUCAACUUUUGUUUCAGUCACAAUGUGCUGACUCUCUCUCUCUCUCUCUCUCUCUCUCUCUCUCUCUCUCUUUUUUGCAGCGUACAUGUUAAACCAUGCCAGACUGAGUUGAUUUUGUUAGAGAAGGAAGAGCAUGUGAAGAAAGAGUUAAUUUAUGCAUCUCAAUGCGCCCGCAAAGUCAGUUGGCAACGAAGUCAAAGAAAGGAACUUCUUCUUGAUUUUAUAAUCAUAUACAUACAACGCUUGAUAGACUUUGUUCGCUUCUCCUUCAUUAAAGCAAGUGGCCAAAACUGUAAAGACAUAACGAUAGUUGAUUUUUUGAUGAAACGAGCUUUAAUCUAUGUAUUAUGCUUUUAAGGUUAAUUAACACUAUAUUUCUUUAUUUGUUCAUUAAUAUGUUUAGUAGUAUGUUUAGGUAUAGGCAUUUGGUUUUGGGUUCUCUUCUAGUUGUAUUUUUGGUUUUCAAGAAAUAUAGUAAAUGCUUGAUUACUUAUGAAUUUGAGUUAGGUCUUGAUUUUAGUUAUUUUAGUUAUUUGUUUGGUUCAAAUAACAAUGUUAGAAACUAGAUAAAAUUUUGAGUUCAAUUCGUAAAUAUGCAUAGGAAUAUGUAAUUUUCUAUUCAUUACAUUUUCUGAUUUUUAUUUUGUGUUAUUGAAUAUCUUUAUAAGUUAUAAUAACAACAAUAAAAAUGUGAAAAAUAUAACUGCCUAAAUCAGAAUCAAGAUCGAAAAUUUCAUAUUCAUUUCACAUUGACGCGUUUGAAUUGAACUCAAAAUUUUAUCGGGUUCCUAACAUUUUUAUUCGAACCAAACCAAAAACUAAAAUAAUUAAACCGAAACCACACUUAAAUUCAUAAAUAACUUAACUAUUACUAUAUUUCUUGGAAGACCACAACUGAACCAUAACCAAACCGAAAAUCCAAAAAUAAGCUACCAAAAUUUAUAAAAAUAUCAUCAUGAAAUCAUAAAAAUUGAAGUCUAAAUAUAAAUUAUCCCGCGCAACCGCCCAGAUCAGAAUCUAGAAUCUAGCUAUGCUUUAUUUUAUGGUUAUUUAGGCCAAUUUUCCUUAAUUAUUAAACUUUCUAGUCGACCAUAUUUGGAAAAAAAUAGUAAUCAACGAGACCCGUUACACAAGACCGGUAUGAUCGAGAACGUCAGGUGGCAUAGCGGCAGUACUGAACGUUUCUCACACACGACUACCCGAGGUCGCCAGUUCGAUACUCGGGGAAAGCGGGGUGGUACUGGGUUAGCUAAAAAAUUCCUACGGGAAUUUCUGGCGAGGUGGCCCUUCAGGGUGAGCCCAGUCACUAUAAAAAGUUCAACCUAUACAGUUUUAACCGGGCCUCGUGGUCUGGUGGUAAAGAAACCUCGGCUGAGGUGCCCGCCAUCACGACUUCGAGCCCCGGCCACGGCGGAUUUAACAU